UUCUUCAAGCAGUUUUACUCAGCAACCUUGAUACAAUCUUCUGACAUCUUUCUCUUCUGACUCUCUCUUUCUUCUGUCUUCUCUGUUUCUCUCCUGACACACACACACACACACACACACACACACACACACACACACACACACACUCACUCUCUCUCUCUCUCUCUCUCUCUCUCUCUCUCUCUCUCUCUUCUGACUCUCUCUCCUCUGAAUCUCUCUCCUCUGACUCUCUCUCUUCUGACUCUCUCCCUCCUGACUCUCUCUUCUUCUCUUUUCCGACUCUCUCUUUUCGGGGAACGCCCUGCACCACACUUAAAUAGCUAGUACUGGCCAGUCCUAGCAAGCCAGGUGGGUCAUGUAGAUAGGCUGUCACUAUGCGGAAGCUAGCGGGCCAGGCAGACAUAGCCAAAAAAGGACUUGCUUACUGCAAGGAGCACUCAUCGUUGGGAGGGUGGAAGGCGGAAACCAGUGCUAUCUUUGAGGUGUGGCACGUCACAGCUCUCUACAGUUCCCCCUUUUUGUUUAAUUAAUCAAGAAGGCAAAGGCACUGCUGAGCGUGGUGACCCCCCCCCCUGUCUUAGGAUCAUCCCUUCAUUAAACCCGUUGUAGGACACCUCGUCACCCACAAGGUUCCAUGCCUUAGGUAGAAGGGAUGUUGCCCGUCGCUGGGCAAGGUCACUCACAUAUACUCAGGGGUGAGGUGCAACUAGGUCUUCUGAAUGACCGUAAGCCAGGCUUGAGGGGACUGUCCUGCUUCAAUGGCUGUAAUUGUCUGUACCACCUUAGCCGCUGCCGCCUCUGGACAAACCUCAUUUUACAGAGACACUACAGGCUCACUAGGGAGACCAGCAGCAAGAGUCCAGCUAGGGCUCCCAUAUCCACCCACUCUCUAAGAUGAUUCAUAGCAGCAGUAAUCCAAGAUGACAAUCCUGUAGCCAGUCUAGCAUCUGCACAUGUGGAGUUCACGGUCACGAUGGCUACACGUAGCUGAUCCAUUAAGAAAUCGAAUUCUCCAGUCCAAUUACCUAAAAAAUAACUUGACAAUUCUUUCCAGCUCUGCCCUGACUGCAAGAAGUUCUGAUCUCGGAGAGAGUUGAGUCCCUUUAAGGUGGAUUCGAGGAUUCCCCGUAUGGGCCACCACUUGCUGCGCCCAACCUCGACCAGCAAGGUAGACACGACCAUAGGAGAUCUUCUUCAAGCAGUUUUACUCAGGAACCUUGAUACGAUCUUCUGACCUCUUUCUCUUCUGACUCUCUCUUUCUUCUGUCUUCUCUGUUUCUCUCCUGACUCUCUCUCUCUCUCUCUCUCUCUCUCUCUCUCUCUCUCUCUCUCUCUUCUGACUCUCUCUCCUCUGAAUCUCUCUCCUCUGACUCUCUCUCUUCUGACUCUCUCCCUCCUGACUCUCUCUUCUUCUCUUUUCCAACUCUCUCU
rnacentral:lncRNA from 1 species